rnacentral:rRNA from 1 species
UAGGGAAUCUUCCGCAAUGGGCGAAAGCCUGACGGAGCAACGCCGCGUGAGUGAUGAAGGUCUUCGGAUCGUAAAACUCUGUUAUUAGGGAAGAACAAAUGUGUAAGUAACUAUGCACGUCUUGACGGUACCUAAUCAGAAAGCCACGGCUAACUACGUGCCAGCAGCCGCGGUAAUACGUAGGUGGCAAGCGUUAUCCGGAAUUAUUGGGCGUAAAGCGCGCGUAGCGGUUUUUUAAGUCUGAUGUGAAAGCCCACGGCUCAACCGUGGAGGGUCAUUGGAAACUGGAAAACUUGAGUGCAGAAGAGGAAAGUGGAAUUCCAUGUGUAGCGGUGAAAUGCGCAGAGAUAUGGAGGAACACCAGUGGCGAAGGCGACUUUCUGGUCUGUAACUGACGCUGAUGUGCGAAAGCGUGGGGAUCAAACAGG